UUUCCGUAGGUGAACCUGCGGAAGGAUCAUUAACAUUAAUCCAAUCAUCUAAACCUAGCCUUAUGUGCUGUAGCAGUUGCAGAUAGUUUAACGACAGUCUAAUGCGGCUACAGUAUCAAUCACAACUAGAUGAAAGGAGUCUAACUAAGCACAAUAACCAAAACCAAAUUCUCAACGAUGGAUAUCUUGGUUCCC
rnacentral:misc_RNA from 1 species